rnacentral:lncRNA from 1 species
CGCCAGUGCGAAGCGCGCCGGGCUUGGCACCUUCCCGCGGCCGGAGCCCGGCCCCGCGAGAGAAAAGCCCCGACCCUCCCCCUGGUCGGUGGGCCUUGUAACCCCGGUCUUAGAUGACCAGGCCCUAGGGCUCUCCAAAUUGGCAGUUCCAGCUGUUGAUUUCAGGGGUCCCCAGAGGCAGCCGGUGGGGCCGCCGUGGUUUCUCUUCCUUUUUUCCCGUCUUCUCUAAAAGACCCGCCACGAUUUCACGAACGCAAAGACAAAACCAAGCAUACGCUUUAUUCUUGUUAUUUAUUGGCGAAAUCUCAGUGGAAAGGUAAAGAAUGACAAGGAGAGAGAUCACCGACAUCGCGUAGCCACCACCACCGCCUCUAAAGCUCUGUUCGUUGCCUGGGAGCCCGUGUGCGCCAGUUCACCUGCACACGUCGGUUCACGCCUGUGGAUACGCGCAUCCUGCGCUGGGAGCCACCUUGCAAGGUGCAGCUUAACGUCCUGGCUCGCGGCUGAAGGUGUCGGGACGCACCUGGUGCCGCAGAAACAUUUAUGCGCCGGGCAAAGUGGUUACCCUAGAGAUCCUUACCGUCCUUCCGGCGUACGGACAUCCUGCAUCCUGUCACGGGCAGCCCCGGGAAGCCAGGAAAAGCGUCCCUUGGGUGCUUUGGAAACCAGAGAGCACGCCAGGGUGCCCCACGGCCUGGAAAGAAGUUUGCUGAGGGUCUCAAGCCCAUCCGUGUCCUCCUCUCGCGGCCACGCGGAGGAAUACUCUGGAGAUGGGUUCUCUGAAACCUGGCAACUAAUUGAAAUUCCUGAAAGAUGCUUUCUUCUCUCCCUAGACUAAGCAUCCUGUCCCUCCUGACCUACCAGCAGACUACGAUCAGGCAGUGGGGCUUUUGCUGUCUGUGAACACACUGAACAUUUAACAGGAGUCCGCUGCUAAGUGCUUUCAUAGAUUAUUACUUCCUUCAUACUCACAGGAACCUCAGAAGGUAGCUACUGUUAUCCAUGUUUUAGGACUGAGAAAACUGAGGCUCAGAUGGCUAUACCCAUUUGCCCGCAUCACCUGGCUUUUAAGGGGCAGAAGCAGUGAGGUAGACCUCUCUGCAGUGAGGUCCACCUGACCCCAAACCUCUCUCCACUGCCUCGGUGACAGACACACAGCUGAGGUUCCCACCUGUCUUCUUUUGCUGUGAUCCUGCCUGCAUUGUCCAGAGAAUGUAAAAUGUCACCUGCAUUGUGACUCAACUCCGCCAUUCAUAUCUAUCCAGAUCAGUAAAUUAAUAGGAGUGAUCCAAAUUGACACCUUACAAACAAGAAAAUUCAAAGAAAUUAAGCAGCCUGGUGGGAGGUAGUAGGAAGGAGUGGGAAAUAGACCUCAGGUCUUAUUACUACUGAGGUCAUUUUCCAACUUGCCAGGGGCUCUGGCACUCUGGCUUGUUUUGUAAUAUUAAUCAAUGUUUGCUGGGGUCCAGGCACUAGUUCUAGGAGCUUUCUCAUGCCUUAUUUCAUUUAAUAUCACCAGUUUGCAGACAGAGAAGCUUCGUGAACCCGCUCAAGGUCACAGGAUAAUAAAAGUGGAGCCGAGGUCCA